UCAGCAAAUACCGUACUUGGGUCAAAAUUGCGAGCUAUCAUCACAACUCUGCAUUAUUUAAUCUUGUGUUCUGUGAACUGUGGUUCUGUCAUCAGUCAGUCAGCAGAACAUUAGUUUUAACUUUUAAUUUCAGAUCUCAUCUUUGAGAAAUUGGUUUUAUUGUUUUGUCAAAAUAAAUAGGAAUAUGGACAGGUACCUGCUAGCAUUGAGUUUGAGAAUCAAAGAUCAGACACAGAUCUGGAAAAUAAUCCUGGGGAUAGAGGUGAUGAUACAUUCCAUAAAAAGAAGUAUAAAAGAACUUAUAAGUAUAAUUUUAAAUGGAAUGAUGAGUUCUCAGAGUGGUUGACAAAUAGGGAAAGUAAACCAUACUGCAAAUCAUGCAAUCUCAUUUUAGAGGGAAGUGAGAGUCACAUUGUUCGUCACAGCAAGACUAGAAAGCUUAUAGCCAAGAUGUGUUUUUUGAAAAGAUCCCAGAAUAUUCAAGUUGUAAUGGAAAACCUUCCUUCAACAGAGCUGGCUACAUCUGUGCAAAAAAGUG